rfam:Moniliophthora roreri MCA 2997 sctg_0281_0002, whole genome shotgun sequence.
GGUGCUAUAGUGUAGUGGUCAUCACUCGGGAUUUUGAUGACUUGCUGCAUGAUGGAUUGCUUUAUCAUCUUCCCGAAACCCAGGUUCGAACCCUGGUAGCACCU